UAGAGCAAUUUCGCGGCCGGAUUCGUUUUCAGCGUGAAAAAUUACAUCGAAAAUGAUAUCUUAUAUUCAAACAGCAAAAACCAUGUCGGCCUGUGUUAUUAGUAGGAUGCAUCGCUGCAGAGAAUCGUUAAAGGCAACACACUGAGGAAACGGACGUCAGAACUCGUCGAAAGAAGCGAGUCGCUAUCUUCGCCUUCUUCGUCUCGCCCUCUCUCUUUCUCUCUUAAGCGUCGAUGUAAGAAUCGUGUGAAAGUAUGCCCGUUUAGUUUUUACUGUAGGUCUUGCGCAAGCGUAACAGAUUCCUUGUGCGUAGUCAUUCUGCAUUCUGUAACGUAGAUGCAUCCGCAUCUCUCUCUCUCUCUUGCUCUCGCUCUCUCUAUCUUCCUGUAACAAAUUUUUAAAUUAAAAUUUUACAGUGCAAAGUUCAUGCGUAAUAUUCAAAUGAAGUCUCGAGAACAAAAGGAGGAUAAGGAUUUUAUUUGUUACUUUGAAUAAUUUGUCUCCAGCAGAAUUCUUAGUACAUAAAGUGUAAAAGCUUUAAUAAUUAAGUAAACUACAUAUUAUAAUUGUUAUAUUCUAUCUUCUAUUUUGUGAUACUUUCCUAGGAAAAUGCGACAGCAAUGCACUUCCGCCGCAACUCGCAUAGGACAAAGAAUCGCCGGGCGAUUAUUCAGAAGGUAGUGACUCAAGUACGCACACACACACACAAAGUAUAAUAUAUAUACUAAGUCUAUACGUCUGUACUGUUUCACGUUUCUGUGUGCACAGCUGCGUUGUAUGUGUGAGAUGAAACUUAUCUGCGUAAUCGUACAGAUGCUCCUCGUUAUCAUAGGAGGAGUUCUUCGUACGAAUUACUCUAUACUUCUGGUAAUAAUAUAGCUUACAGUGUUACAGACUCAAGAUUAAACACUCAUGGAAAGCGGCUCGGAAUUAUUUGGCUCUUCUUACUUACAUCGGACUAAGAAACAACAGAAUGACAGAAUCUUUUUUUUAGUCAGGUGGCAUCAAUUACAAGAAUCGACGCUCGAGAAAAAUAC